AGCAAUCGACAUAUGUAAGAAGUACAUUGGUUUGGUCUGGAAAGGCGGGACAACUAGAAGCAAAGGCUGGAAGACUCUUCCAGGUCACAGAUAGGUGAUACACAAAUGGUUACAUUCUUUUGAGUUUCUGAUUAGCCUUUCCAAAGUAGGCAAAUCAGAUAUGCAUCUAUCUCAGUGAGCAGAGGAGUGACUUUGAAUAGAAUGGGAGGCAGGUUUGCCCUAAGCAGUUUCCAGCUUGAGUUUUCCUCAGUGAUUCUGGGGGCCCAAGAUAUUUUCCUUUCACAAGCCAGCAGGGAAUGAGCUGUUCUGAGUUGAACAGAACGGGAAACUGCACUUUUGACUCUGAAUGUAUUUCAAUGGAGCAGCCUCUGCUGAAAGCCGGGCUCAGACACUGAACAGCCGCUUCAGGGAGAUGCAAUGGUUGCAACUUGUGAACCGUGCUUUCCUUCCACAUCUUAGGUGUACGGAGUUUGUAUAAAAUAUGAACUCUAAUGUGUAGAAUUUGCAGGUCGCUGAAGUGUCACAGUCUGCUGAAAUGGGUCUGGAAUCAAUAAGGUACACAUCAAACUCAAUUGUAUUUAAUUUUCAUUGCUACCUAGAGGAAAGCCUUGCAUGGCCCUACACGCCCACUCUGGGCACUUCCAGCCGACACUGACCUUUCAGUCAUGGAAACAUUCCCCAGACUGACACUAAUCGGGGGCACAUCUGGCGUUUGGACUGCAUCCAGAUGGGGGUUUGUGUUAGUCGAGUCAGCAUGAUAACCCGCUGGGGAGGGAGGGAGGGAGGGGAGAGGACACAGCAGCUGAGAGCAAUCCCCAUCCUUGGCUGCGUGAGGGAGAGGUGGUCAUGCUGCGGCCAGUGAGUCAUAGACUAGAGACCACCUAAUUCCUGUCCACCCCUGCUCUCCCUGCUCCCUCCAACAGAGGACAAACUGGAUCCACCCAGAGAGCCAACUCGCCAGAGUUCCACAACUGGUCAGCAGCAGACUACAAUCUCAGUGUCCCGGCUCCCAUUCUAUCGCACUGCCCACUUUCUACACUCUCUCAAAGUGUAGUGUGUUAUUUCAGGAUAAAAUAUGUGCCAAGGUGAUGAAAAGAAUCCAGCUGUUUCUUCUCUUUCACUUCCUGUGAUUUGUAAAAGCAUAAGACGAUUUUCCAAGACAGUGACAAACCACCAUCGCUCACACCCAUUCCACCCACCCCAAUUCUUUCAUCGUAGCUUCUUUUCUGGAUUUGGAAGAAGAGACCGCCCUUUGUGACUGGUUCAUGGACUUUGUCAGAAAUCAACACAAUGUCUUAUUCUCCCAUCCCUAGAACAAGCGACUGCAAUUGGGAAUAAGACUUCAUAGUAUAGAAGUUCCAGCCAUACAGGUCAGGAAUGACAAAGUGUCUUGGCCAGCUCUCAGCCUCUGCCUUUACAAAGUCUGACACCUGUUGCAGUCACGAAUUGCACUGCUAAAGAGGUAAUCAAGCAAACCAAAGCCAGGAUAAAAGGGAUUAUGUCUCCACUCACCCACACAGAAGGCUGUCUCCAACUGCAGAAGGAAGUUCUUUCCAUGGCCGCUGGAGCACCCUCCCCACUUGUGGGCACCAUGGUUCAAGUCUGCCCCAGUGAUCCUCUCCUGUAUAAACCUCCAGGUACAGAUUAUGGAAAUCAGGAAUCUCAUCCAGCUGCUCAAAUAACAAAGAGGUUAGCAGUAUCUUCUAGUAUGAAUAAUUGUAACUGCAGAGAUCUGUUCAGCCUUUAUCCUUUCUUAAAAACCUAAAGAGAAACAAGGAAGCAACCCAGGUAAAAGCAAGACAAUGGUCAAUGGUCAGCUUCCCAAGGCAGGUUUCAGCUUCCACAUUAACUAAUCAGCUUGCAGAGCUUGCAGCACCUUCUACAUCCAGCCUCCAUACAAAGGACAACUAUCAUCCACCAACCAAUUUAGUCCUCUUCUGGAAGAAUCAGAAAGAAAAAAUGUCUUCACUCCACUUCUCCUACCCUCCUCAAGAUCACCUCCCUCCCCAAAGCCCUCGCUUCUGUGGUCCUCUCUAAGAAAUAUGCUUUAUCCACUCCGACGGGCACAACAGUAGUAACUGAGACAGGAGAAUGACCCUCUUCCUUGCUUUAGGGAAGUUAUCAGUUCCACCCUCCUUGGGAAGCUCUGUGAUCUCUGAGAAGAAGCUCACAGACACCAUCACUCUACCUAAGCCAGUUAGGGUCUCUGCUCGUGCCAGCCCCUUUUUUCCCCACCAAUGAGUUGGUACAAAGCCAUUUCAUGUUCCAUGCCAAACCAGUAAUUCGCAAUACUCAUCAAAAUCUGCCUCCGUCCACUGACUCAGCACUCCUGCUUUCCUAGCAUAGCCAACCUCCCUAACACCCUGACAUCCCGGCCUUCAGUUUCACUAUUUACAUCACAUGAGAGAUUUGGGUUUCGAAAGCCAAUUCCCUCUGAAGAGAGUAUGCAGAUGAUUCAUCUUCUCUGAAAAAACUACCCAUUUUUGCCUUGAUAUCCAUGCCAAAAAUCUCCUGAGAUGGGGCUCAGAGAGGACAGAGUGGGGGAGUCCUGUUACAAUAGGAGACCACUGUCUCAGUUUCCAAAUGAAAAAGAUGACACACUGUUCUUGGGACACUGCUUUGCCAGGGUGUCCUGCAGAAACCAAGGAAGCUUCCAUCUCAGAGCCACUGUGGACACAGCCUUGGAUCACCGUGGAGCCUCAGACCACACUGACUCCUCCCUGUCUCCGCGUCUAACCCCCUCUCACACUGAGAGAUCUGACCCACCACAGACAUCCCCUCUGGCCUCCUGAGUGGUUUCUUCAGCACAGCUUCCAGAGCCAAAUUAAACGUUCACUCUAUGUCUAUAGACAAAAAGGGUUUUGACUAAACUCUGUGUUUUAGAGAGGGAGUUAAAUGCUGUUAACUUUUUAGGGGUGGGCGAGAGGGAUGACAAAUAACAACUUGUCUGAAUGGCAACUCUGCCUGCUGAAAUCCCAAGAGCUGGCUCUUGCAGCAGCCUCCUCUGAGGCUCCCUGCUCAGCUCCUGGGCCCUUAUCCUGCAGCUGGGUCUCUUCUGGAAGUGGGGGCACAUCAAGCGUCUGGGUGGUGCCAGUGCCUGGGCCUGAGCUAAAGUCUUCACCAGCCUGCCCCUUUUGGGGAAGCUUCUGACAAUUUCGAUUACCGAAAUCUUCCUGCCUUUUGGGAUAAUACAGUCAAAUGCUCCAUUGAGACAGACUUCUGUAUCUUUACAGGCCCUAGAAUGAGACCAACCCAAGGCCCAGCAUCUGCAGAAUGUCCCGUGUAGAACCAGGAAGGAAAAACUAAACCACUCCUUUUCCCCUCUUCCCAACACACCCUUCUCUCCUCUCAGAUCCUUGGAGUUCUCCGCACUCAGAACCUACAAGCUGCCCAGGGGUCUUCCAGACCAGCCCCAGUUGCUUCCAGCCUCCUUCCGCCAGCACAUCUCUGCAGCCUUGGGCCACCGAUCCUAAGCCAAAGCCUCCCCAACCUCUGGGCUCAGAAGCAGGUGUAAUCCCAACUCCAGCAGGGAAUUCCAGAGGUGAAGGUCACGGGAGCAUCUUUAAUCUUCGGUUCCCAGUAGAGAAGAUACCCAAAGAGCAGGGAGCAGGAGCCAGCUCCAGGCUAUACAUUUGUUUAUUCAUCAAUCAUUCAUUUAUGCAUUAAUCAUUCAUUCCCCCCACCCAUCAGUCAUUCAUCUGCUUAUUUAUUCAUUCAAUGUGUUUGUACCUUGUCCUUGCUUUGGUUAC
rnacentral:lncRNA from 1 species